rnacentral:lncRNA from 1 species
CGGGCAGCGCGGCGGGCCGUUACCGGCGGGGACGCGGCCGCGUGAGCGGCUGUCAAUAUUUGCAAGUGUCUUGUCUGACAAAUGUCUGACAGCCUUUCUGUAUUGAAGAAGGAAUAAAAGGAAGAGGUUACAGCUGACAGUGUUCCACUGACAAGCAAUACUGACUAAAGCCAAAAGAUAGGAACAACAGUGCAGCAGUGGACAGUGGAGGUUGCUGUUUUCUUUCUUAUAUGGGCCUGCAGCAAGUCCUCGUUUCCUGUCAGAAACAGGAAAAAAGAUGCCUCUAACCCUCUGCCAAAUUCAAAACCUUUUCUUUCUCAAGGUGAAAUCAUUUGAAAAGGA